GACGAACGCUGGCGGCGUGCCUAAUACAUGCAAGUAGAACGCUGAAGGAGGAGCUUGCUCUUCUGGAUGAGUUGCGAGCGGGUGAGUAACGCGUAGGUAACCUGCCUGGUAGCGGGGGAUAACUAUUGGAAACGAUAGCUAAUACCGCAUAAGAGUAGAUGUUGCAUGACAUUUACUUGAAAGGUGCAAUUGCAUCACUACCAGAUGGACCUGCGUUGUAUUAGCUAGUUGGUGGGGUAACGGCUCACCAAGGCGACGAUACAUAGCCGACCUGAGAGGGUGAUCGGCCACACUGGGACUGAGACACGGCCCAGACUCCUACGGGAGGCAGCAGUAGGGAAUCUUCGGCAAUGGACGGAAGUCUGACCGAGCAACGCCGCGUGAGUGAAGAAGGUUUUCGGAUCGUAAAGCUCUGUUGUAAGAGAAGAACGAGUGUGAGAGUGGAAAGUUCACACUGUGACGGUAUCUUACCAGAAAGGGACGGCUAACUACGUGCCAGCAGCCGCGGUAAUACGUAGGUCCCGAGCGUUGUCCGGAUUUAUUGGGCGUAAAGCGAGCGCAGGCGGUUAGAUAAGUCUGAAGUUAAAGGCUGUGGCUUAACCAUAGUACGCUUUGGAAACUGUUUAACUUGAGUGCAAGAGGGGAGAGUGGAAUUCCAUGUGUAGCGGUGAAAUGCGUAGAUAUAUGGAGGAACACCGGUGGCGAAAGCGGCUCUCUGGCUUGUAACUGACGCUGAGGCUCGAAAGCGUGGGGAGCAAACAGG
rnacentral:rRNA from 1 species